rnacentral:rRNA from 1 species
AAGUCUGACGGAGCACGCCGCGUGAGUGAUGAAGGUUUUCGGAUCGUAAAGCUCUUUUGUUAGGGAAGAACAAGUACGAGAGUAACUGCUCGUACCUUGACGGUACCUAACCAGAAAGCCACGGCUAACUACGUGCCAGCAGCCGCGGUAAUACGUAGGUGGCAAGCGUUGUCCGGAAUUAUUGGGCGUAAAGGGCUCGCAGGCGGUUUCUUAAGUCUGAUGUGAAAGCCCCCGGCUCAACCGGGGAGGGUCAUUUGAAACUGGGAAACUUGAGUGCAGAAGAGGAGAGUGGAAUUCCACGUGUAGCGGUGAAAUGCGUAGAGAUGUGGAGGAACACCAGUGGCGAAGGCGACUCUCUGGUCUGUAACUGACGCUGAGGAGCGAAAGCGUGGGGAGCGAACAGGAUUAGAUACCCUGGUAGUCCACGCCGUAAACGAUGAGUGCUAAGUGUUAGGGGGUUUCCGCCCCUUAGUGCUGCAGCUAACGCAUUAAGCACUCCGCCUGGGGAGUACGGUCGCAAGACUGAAACUCAAAGGAAUUGACGGGGGCCCGCACAAGCGGUGGAGCAUGUGGUUUAAUUCGAAGCAACGCGAAGAACCUUACCAGGUCUUGACAUCCUCUGACAACCCUAGAGAUAGGGCUUUCCCUUCGGGGACAGAGUGACAGGUGGUGCAUGGUUGUCGUCAGCUCGUGUCGUGAGAUGUUGGGUUAAGUCCCGCAACGAGCGCAACCCUUGAUCUUAGUUGCCAGCAUUUAGUUGGGCACUCUAAGGUGACUGCCGGUGACAAACCGGAGGAAGGUGGGGAUGACGUCAAAUCAUCAUGCCCCUUAUGACCUGGGCUACACACGUGCUACAAUGGACAGAACA